CCUACGGGAGGCAGCAGUGAGGCAUAUUGGUCAAUGGACGCAAGUCUGAACCAGCCAUGCAGCGUGCAGGAUGACGGCUCUAUGAGUUGUAAACUGCUUUUGUCCGAGGGUAAUAUCAGAUACGUGUAUCUGCUUGAAAGUAUCGUACGCAUAAGGAUAGGCUAACUCCGUGCAAGAAGCCGCGGUAAUACGGAGGAUCCAAGCGUUAUCCGGAUUUAUUGGUUUUAAAGGGUGCGUAGGCGGUCUUAUAAGUUAGAGGUGAAAAUUCGGGGCUCAACUCCGGACGUGCGUCUAAUACUGUAUGACUAGAGAAUAGAUACGGAAGGCGGAAUGUAUGGUGUAGCGGUGAAAUGCGUAGAGAUCAUACAGAACACCGAUUGCGAAGGCAGCUUACCAAACUAUAUCUGACGUUGAGGCACGAAAGCGUGGGGAGCAAACAGGAUUAGAUACCCGUGUAGUC
rnacentral:rRNA from 1 species